GUGGGGAAUCUUAGACAAUGGGGGCAACCCUGAUCUAGCCAUGCCACGUGAGUGAUGAAGGCCUUAGGGUUGUAAAGCUCUUUCAGUGGGGAAGAUAAUGACGGUACCCACAGAAGAAGCCCCGGCUAACUCCGUGCCAGCAGCCGCGGUAAUACGGAGGGGGCUAGCGUUGUUCGGAAUUACUGGGCGUAAAGCGCACGUAGGCGGAUCGGAAAGUUGGGGGUGAAAUCACAGGGCUCAACCCUGGCACUGCCUUCAAAACUAUCGGUAUGGAGUCCGAGAGAGGUGAGUGGAAUUCCGAGUGUAGAGGUGAAAUUCGUAGAUAUUCGGAGGAACACCAGUGGCGAAGGCGGCUCACUGGCUCAGUACUGACGCUGAGGUGCGAAAGCGUGGGGAGCAAACAGGAUUAGAUACCCCAGUAGUCC
rnacentral:rRNA from 1 species